rnacentral:rRNA from 1 species
GAUGAACGCUGGCGGCGUGCUUAACACAUGCAAGUCGAACGAUGAAGCCCAGCUUGCUGGGUGGAUUAGUGGCGAACGGGUGAGUAACACGUGAGUAACCUGCCCUUAACUCUGGGAUAAGCCUGGGAAACUGGGUCUAAUACCGGAUAGGAGCGCCUACCGCAUGGUGGGUGUUGGAAAGAUUUAUCGGUUUUGGCUGGACUCGCGGCCUAUCAGCUUGUUGGUGGGGUAUUGGCGCACCAAGGCGACGACGGGUAGCCGGCCUGAGAGGGUGACCGGCCACACUGGGACUGAGACACGGCCCAGACUCCUACGGGAGGCAGCAGUGGGGAAUAUUGCACAAUGGGCGAAAGCCUGAUGCAGCGACGCCGCGUGAGGGAUGACGGCCUUCGGGUUGUAAACCUCUUUCAGUAGGGAAGAAGCGAAAGUGACGGUACCUGCAGAAGAAGCACCGGCUAACUACGUG